rnacentral:rRNA from 1 species
UGCUACCCGCUGACGAGCGGCGGACGGGUGAGUAAUGCAUAGGAAUCUGCCCGAUAGUGGGGGAUAACCUGGGGAAACCCAGGCUAAUACCGCAUACGUCCUACGGGAGAAAGGGGGCUCCGGCUCCCGCUAUUGGAUGAGCCUAUGUCGGAUUAGCUAGUUGGUGAGGUAAAGGCUCACCAAGGCGACGAUCCGUAGCUGGUCUGAGAGGAUGAUCAGCCACAUCGGGACUGAGACACGGCCCGAACUCCUACGGGAGGCAGCAGUGGGGAAUAUUGGACAAUGGGGGAAAGCCUGAUCCAGCCAUGCCGCGUGUGUGAAGAAGGCCCUCGGGUUGUAAAGCACUUUCAGCGAGGAAGAACGCCUAUUGGUUAAUACC